rnacentral:rRNA from 1 species
GCAAGUCGAGGGGUAACAUGAGUAGCUUGCUACUUGAUGACGACCGGCGCACGGGUGAGUAACGCGUAUGGAACCUACCUGCAACAGGAGGACAGCCCCCGGAAACGGGGAUUAAUACUCCAUGUUUCUUUAAGACCGCCUGGUCUAAAAGAAAAAGCUACGGCGGUUGCAGCUGGCCAUGCGUGACAUUAGUUAGUUGGCGGGGUAACGGCCCACCAAGGCGACGAUGUCUAGGGGUUCUGAGAGGAAGGUCCCCCACACUGGUACUGAGACACGGACCAGACUCCUACGGGAGGCAGCAGUGAGGAAUAUUGGUCAAUGGGCGAGAGCCUGAACCAGCCAUGUCGCGUGCAGGAUGACGGCCCUACGGGUUGUAAACUGCUUUUGUACGGGAAGAAUGUCUUCGACGAGUCGAAGUUUGCCGGUACCGUACGAAUAAGCAUCGGCUAACUCCGUGCCAGCAGCCGCGGUAAUACGGAGGAUGCGAGCGUUAUCCGGAUUCAUUGGGUUUAAAGGGUGCGUAGGCGGAGCUUCAAGUCAGCGGUGAAAGUCUGCAGCUCAACUGUAGUUGUGCCGU